rnacentral:rRNA from 1 species
CAUUAUUGAAAUAAACCUGAUGGGCUGUUGCUGGCUCUCUAGGGAGCAGGUGCACGCCCUGUCAUCUUUAUAUCUCCACCUGUGCACCUUUUGUAGACCUUCCCAGGUCUAUGUUGCUUCAUUUACCCCAAUGUAUGUCUAUAGAAUGUUUGUGCAUAUGAAAUAUAUACAACUUUCAGCAACGGAUCUCUUGGCUCUCGCAUCGAUGAAGAACGCAGCGAAAUGCGAUAAGUAAUGUGAAUUGCAGAAUUCAGUGAAUCAUCGAAUCUUUGAACGCACCUUGCGCUCCUUGGUAUUCCGAGGAGCAUGCCUGUUUGAGUGUCAUUAAUAUAUAUAUCAACCCCUCUUUGUUGAGUGGCUUGGAUGUGGGGGUUGCUGGCCAGGUUCAGCUCUCCUGAAAUGCAUUAGCAGAACAACCUGUUCAUUCAUUGGUGUGAUAACUAUCUACGCUAUUGAAUGUGAGGUGGAUCAGCUUCUUAACAGUCCUUCUUGGACAAUUCAUCAUUUAAUGUGACCUCAAAUCAGGUAGGACUACCCGCUGAACUUAAGCAUAUCAAUA